GCAAUCAGUUAAAACUUUCAACAAUGGAUCUCUUGGUUCCGGCAUCGAUGAAGAACGCAGCGAAAUGCGAUAACUAAUGUGAAUUGCAGAAUUCAGUGAAUCAUCGAGUCUUUGAACGCACAUUGCGCCCCCUGGUAUUCCGGGGGGCAUGCCUGUCCGAGCGUCAUU
rnacentral:rRNA from 1 species